rnacentral:lncRNA from 10 species
ACUCCUCGUCUCACCCAUGAGAGCGAGCUGCCUUCUGUCUGGUUGGGCGAUUCCUGCAGGGCCUGAGCCUCCGCAGAGCCCGGCGUUCAAGGAGAAAAAAGGAGCCGCGGAUGUGAGUUUGCUUCGUCACUGCCUUGUGAGCGACUUUGGGCAAGUUACUUAGCUCUCCUGACCUCAGAUUUCUUGUCUAAUGUGGGAGGGAACCGAACGUGGAUGACGCUCCGGGCAGCGGCGGAGAGCCGAGAUCACCGCGCGCGCCUGAGAACUUUGUCCGAAGCGCGGCCCGGGGACUGGGAGCGCAGGGCAGGGAGCUCCCUCUGCGGGAGCGCGGAGGCGCUCCUACUUUCUCCGCACGUCACGGGGGCCGCUCAGCGCUCUCCCACCCCGGGCCGGGCGAGAGCGGCUCCCCAGCA